rnacentral:rRNA from 1 species
GUGGGGAAUCUUGCGCAAUGGGCGAAAGCCUGACGCAGCCAUGCCGCGUGAAUGAUGAAGGUCUUAGGAUUGUAAAAUUCUUUCACCGGGGACGAUAAUGACGGUACCCGGAGAAGAAGCCCCGGCUAACUUCGUGCCAGCAGCCGCGGUAAUACGAAGGGGGCUAGCGUUGCUCGGAAUUACUGGGCGUAAAGGGCGCGUAGGCGGACAGUUUAGUCAGAGGUGAAAGCCCAGGGCUCAACCUUGGAAUUGCCUUGGAUACUGGCGGGCGUGAGUACGGGAGAGGUGAGUGGAACUCCGGGUGUAGAGGUGAAAUUCGUAGAUAUUCGGAAGAACACCAGUGGCGAAGGCGACUCACUGGCCCGUUACUGACGCUGAGGCGCGAAAGCGUGGGGAGCAAACAGGAUUAGAAACCCGAGUAGUCC